UCUGGAAAAAUAUAAACAUUUAGAUACCUCAAUAGAGUUCAUAAAAAAAAUUACUAUGGGUAGUACAAAAACUUUGGUGAUUUGUUUCCUUGUAAUGAUAUUUGCAGUUUCAUUGUCUAGCCACAACAUUUUGGCUUCAGAAAAUUUUUCAUUUGACAACUGCCAUGGCCCGUGUUCGGAAUACUAUGGACGGGAGGAAUGUAAUAACAACUGUAAAAAUGCGGGAUUUAAAAGUGGAGACUGUGGUUCUCCUUGUAUUCCAUGUCCUGUGAAAUGUUGUUGCCAAAAGUAGUAAACUUAUAUAUGCUCUUUCUCAAAUUUGACGAUUCUAAGAUCGUAUAUAUAUUCUCUAAAAUAUGGGAUUUAAUUUUGUAUCUUGCCUUUACAAAUAAAUGCAAGAAAUAAUCUGUGAUGAUGCAUUUACCGUAGAAUAAUUAACUAAAAGCAAUUUACCA